rnacentral:lncRNA from 1 species
CAUUUACAGUUAGGUAUUUGUUUUGUCUUUAGUGCUAUUUAAUCCGAAAUAUGCACGCUGCUGGUAACACAAUCAAUAGAAUUUAUGUGAAGUUAAAUGUAGAAAGCUUAAUAUACUGAAGUAGAUUCAAAGCUCCUGAAGGCCAUAACUCGAUGUAGCUAGCCAAGACUGAUUACAAGAAGCUUGUGAAUUCCAUAAAUCAUUGCAACUGACCCAAACUAAUGCAUGGAUAAUACGAAAUGUAAUCUGAACUUUAGAAAAAAGCAAAAAAAGCUGACACGGGAGGAAAUUGAGUUCCUCCUAAAUAUUUCAUUUUCUUCUGAUGAAGGAGGCCUGUCAGAAGCAUCUGAAGAAGUUGAAUCUUCUCCUGAAAUGCCUCUGACAGAAGUUUUUCAUAGAAGUCAAUGGCUUAAAAAUAUUGAACCAGGUCAAGUUCACUAAGAGAAGAUGGUCUUGAAGAACCACCACCACCAAAAAGAGUCGGAGCAGAGAGGAGCAGAUUUAGAGCCUCUACUGGAGCCGUUCCUUCCAAGCAGAAGAGGUGUCUCUCCUGUAAUGAUACAUGGAGAUGAACAGGAACAAAAACAAUGUACAAAAUUAUCAGAGAGGAACCUGUUUCCCAACAGGUUACAUCUGCUAUAGAUUCUCUUGAUUCAGAGGGGAACCUGUUUCCCAACAGGUUACCUCUGCUAUAGAUUCUGUUGAUUUUUUAAACUUUUUUUUUUCUGAUCAGUGAGACAAAUAGGUAUGCUAGUGACAACGAAACUGUAGUUUAAAAAAAAAAACCUGUGAAAUGGACUAAUGUUAAUAUUGAAGACAUUUUUGGUCUCACUAUAACUAUUGGUCUCAAGCCUCUUACUUCUUUUCCUGAUUACUGGUGUUCCUAUCCUCUUUUUUGUGCUCUUGGGUUUACUAAUAUCUUAUCUAGGGGCAGUUUUUUUUUUCUUCUUAGAUACUUACAUUUCAAUAACAAUACUAAUGCUCUACCUAAAACUGCUCCUAACUAUGAUAAACUUUUAAAAGUAAGACCUAUUGUAGACCUUCUUCUGAAAUCCUUUGUUUCCCACUCUUCUCCUAACAGAGAGCUAUCUAUAGAUGAGUAGAUGUAGAAUUGGUUUCCUUUAGUAUAUAUCCAAGAAACCUGUCAAGUUUGGUAUCAAGUUGUGGGUCCUGGGAGAAGCUGUGAGUGGAUACUGUCUUAAAUUUAAAAUCUACACAAGCAAAGAGGGACAAACGCCAUCUAGGGGUCUUGUAGACAAAGUUGUGAUGGAACUGGUGGACAAAUACAAGAUAUUAGGAUACUGGGUUUUCAUGGACAGUUUUUACACUUCCCCGAUUUAUUUAAUCAGUUAUUGUCUGUUGGAACCUAUGCUUGUAGCAAAGACAGAUUGUAUUUCCCAAAGGACUGGCAGCUACAAACUUAGGUAAGAGAGAAGCAUGUAUUAUUAAAUGUGGAACAGCUGUAAAAUGAACUGACAAACAAGAUAUUUUAUUAAAUGAUGAACAGCUGUAAUAUGGACUGACAAACAAAGUGUGUUAUUAAACGAUGAACUUUGACAGCUGUAAAAUGGACUGAGAAACAAGGUGUGUUAUUAAAUGAUGAACUUUGACAGCUGUAAAAUGGACUGACAAACAAGGUGUGUUAUUAAAUGAUGAACUUUGACAGCUGUAAAAUGGACUGACAAACAAGGUGUGUUAUUAAA